rnacentral:lncRNA from 1 species
UUUCAAUUUCAUCUUCUUCAUAAACCCUCUCCUUCAGUUUCCUCCAGCUUCCCUUUCUUCAAUCAAUGAAAAUGUCUUCUAUAACCAAAUCCAUAUCCAUGGCGGACUCAUGUUGCCUCGUUUGUAUCCCUUCACUCUUAACCACUUGUUCCAAAUCCCCAUCCCUACUCUCCUUUCCCCCAAAACCAAUCAAUCUUUUCCUCUCAUCUUCCCAUUCUUCAACCUCUUUGACCCUCAAAACCAGAACCCAUUUCUCUUCUCUAGUUUCCUUUGUUGCCCAAACAUCAGAUUGGGCUCAACAAGGGGAAGAAAAUGACACCACCAUCACCAUCGAUGAGGAUGAAAGUGAAA